UUGGACUCUAACUUGAACUCUAAUAUAACUUGGACUCUAAUAUAACUUGGACUUCUAAGAUAGGUAAGAUAACUUGGGCUAAGCCCGUAAUUAGCCCUGCCCAUUGGGCCUCCUCCGUUGGUACGUUGUACCGGUCAUAACAUCUCUCCCCGCCUUCUCAAACAGCUCGUCCUCGAGCUGAACAUCUGGAAACUGCUGGCGGAAAUCGUCGAGCUUCUUCCAAGUCGCUUCCUCCUCUGGCAGGCCGGUCCAUUGUACCAAGACAUGCCAGACGCCGCGACGCUGCUGCGCCUGUAGCACCUUCGCCACCUGUGCGGAAGCUGGAAGGAGGCGGCCAUCCGAAGUAGGAGGAAGGGCCGACGAUGUCGUCGAAGAAGGCCCGCGCCACGGAGGCGGCUGUAUAUGGAUGACCCAGGGCGAUGAAGUGCGCGUACUUGGAGAAGCGGUCAACCACCGUGAGGAUGACGGAUUUGCCGCCCACCUUGGGAAGGCCCUCGAUG
rnacentral:lncRNA from 1 species